AAUAUUGGACAAUGGGCGAAAGCCUGAUCCAGCCAUGCCGCGUGAGUGAUGAAGGCCUUAGGGUUGUAAAGCUCUUUUGUGGGGGAAGAUGAUGACGGUACCCCAAGAAUAAGCACCGGCUAACUUCGUGCCAGCAGCCGCGGUAAUACGAAGGGUGCUAGCGUUGUUCGGAAUCACUGGGCGUAAAGCGCGCGUAGGCGGCGCAGCAAGUCAGGGGUGAAAUCCCAGAGCUUAACUCUGGAAUUGCCUUUGAAACUGCUGCGCUGGAGUGGCGGAGGGGAUGGCGGAAUUGCUAAUGUAGAGGUGAAAUUCGUAGAUAUUAGCAGGAACACCGGUGGCGAAGGCGGCCAUCUGGACGACAACUGACGCUGAGGCGCGAAAGCGUGGGGAUCAAACAGG
rnacentral:rRNA from 1 species